rnacentral:rRNA from 1 species
GUAGGGUGCGAGCGUUAUCCGGAAUCAUUGGGCGUAAAGAGCUCGUAGGCGGUUCAGCAAGUCGGCUGUGAAAUUCCGAGGGCUCAACCUCGGAACUGCAGUCGAUACUGCUGUGACUCGAGUCCGGUAGAGGAGAAUGGAAUUCCCGGUGUAGCGGUGAAAUGCGCAGAUAUCGGGAGGAACACCAGUAGCGAAGGCGGUUCUCUGGGCCGGCACUGACGCUGAGGAGCGAAGGCGUGGGUAGCAAACAGGAUUAGAUACCCUGGUAGUCCACGCCGUAAACGUUGGAUACUAGGUGUGGGGUUCCGACCAACGGUCCCCGUGCCGAAGCUAACGCAUUAAGUAUCCCGCCUGGGGAGUACGGCCGCAAGGCUA